CCUACGGGUGGCAGCAGUAGGGAAUAUUGCUCAAUGGGCGAAACCCUGAAGCAGCAACGCCGCGUGGAGGAUGAAGGUCUUAGGAUUGUAAACCCCUUUUGUGAGAGAAGAUCAUUGCGGUAUCUCAUGAACAUUCAACGGCGAAUCCCGUGCCAGCAGCCGCGGUCAUACGGCGGGCGCAAGCGUUACUCGGAAAGACUGGGCGUAAAGAGUGCGUAGGUGGGUUGGUAAGUCAGAGGUGAAAUCCUGUAGCUUAACUACAGAACUGCAUUUGAAACUGGGAGUUUAGAGUGUGGGAGAGGUAGGUGGAAUUCUUGGUGUAGGGGUGAAAUCCGUAGAUAUCAAGAGGAAUACUCAUUGCGAAGGCGACCUACUGGAACAUAACUGACGCUCAUGCACGAAAGCGUGGGGAGCAAACAGGAUUAGAUACCCUGGUAGUC
rnacentral:rRNA from 1 species